ensembl:lncRNA
CCUAAUCUAUGGAUUUCACAACUGGGAAUACAAAGCUGCAUCUGUUGGUCACAGAUACCUUAAAAAAAAGGUAGGGGCGUGGAUCAGAAAACCAAUAUCUGGUAUGAUCACCGUUUGCCUCAUGCAGCGUGACACAUCGCCUUCACAAAGAGCUGAUCAGAAAGUUGAUUGUGGCCUGUGGAAUGUUGUCCCACUCCGAUUCAAUGGCUGUGCAAAGUUACUGGAUAUUGGCGGGAAUUAGAACACACUGUCGUACAUGUCGAUCCAGAGCAUCCUAAACAUGCUCAACGGGUGACCUGUCUGGUGAGUACGCAGGCCAUAGAAGAACUGGGACAUUUUCAGCUUCCAGGAAUUGUGUACAGAACCUUGCUACAUGGGGCCAUGCAUGAUCAUGCUGAAACAUGAGGUCACGGUGGCGGAUUAAUUGCACAAUAGGCCUCAGGAUCUCGUCACAGUAUCUCUGUGCAUUCAAAUUGCCAUCUAUAAAAUUGUUUUUGUCUGUAGCUUAUGUCUGCCCAUAACCACCAUGGGGCACUCUGUUCACGUUGACAUCAGCUAACCGCUCGCCCACACAACGCCAUACACUUGGUAUGUGGUUGUGAGGCCGGUUGAAGAUUCUCUUCAACAACGUUGGAGGAGACUUGUGGUAGAGAUAUUAACAUUCAAUUAUCUGGCAACAGCUCUGGUGUACAUUCCUGCAGUCAGCAUGCCAAUUGCACACUCCCUGACUGUAAGUCGCUCUGGAUAAGAGUCUGCUAAAUGACUCAAAUGUAAAUGUCAUAUUUAGCCUGCAUGUAAAAUAAUGGCAUCUUGAAAAUGCACAAAUGUGUUUUAGUGAAGUUAUGCUUGAUUAUAAGAAAAAAACACUAGAUGCAUAAGUUACCAGAUUGCAGGAUAGAGGGUAACAGAUGUCAUAUUUAAUGUCACAAACAUAUCACUUGUCAUUCAAUAUAUCAAGCAAAGCAAAACCUAAUUAAAUGUGAAAACAAAAUACACAAUUAACCAUCUAAAAUGUUGGAUUCAUGUUCUACUUAACUUAUAUCUAAUUUCCCUCACAAAAAUAAUGAAUGCUUGUUUUUAUAUAAUGUAAACACUAUCCACAUUUCUAGACACAAUUCAAAACACAUGGUAGAGAAAAAGCAACUUAAUUUGACAUAAUCAACAUAAUUCUGUCUUGAAAGGCAUGGUGGGGUGGGGAUUUACAAUUCUUCCUCCGUGGUAGAUAGUUAGGUAUUCUCUUCCUCACUCCCGAUGGACCAGGACAAACAGACCCAGCAGGAAGAGAACAGCGUACU